UUAUAGAGAUCGGCCGAG
rnacentral:piRNA from 1 species